AGUCGAGCGAACGGACGAGAAGCUUGCUUCUCUGAUGUUAGCGGCGGACGGGUGAGUAACACGUGGAUAACCUACCUAUAAGACUGGGAUAACUUCGGGAAACCGGAGCUAAUACCGGAUAAUAUUUUGAACCGCAUGGUUCAAAAGUGAAAGACGGUCUUGCUGUCACUUAUAGAUGGAUCCGCGCUGCAUUAGCUAGUUGGUAAGGUAACGGCCUUACCAAGGCAACGAUGCAUAGCCGACCUGAGAGGGUGAUCGGCCACACUGGAACUGAGACACGGUCCAGACUCCUACGGGAGGCAGCAGUAGGGAAUCUUCCGCAAUGGGCGAAAGCCUGACGGAGCAACGCCGCGUGAGUGAUGAAGGUCUUCGGAUCGUAAAACUCUGUUAUUAGGGAAGAACAUAUGUGUAAGUAACUGUGCACAUCUUGACGGUACCUAAUCAGAAAGCCACGGCUAACUACGUGCCAGCAGCCGCGGUAAUACGUAGGUGGCAAGCGUUAUCCGGAAUUAUUGGGCGUAAAGCGCGCGUAGGCGGUUUUUUAAGUCUGAUGUGAAAGCCCACGGCUCAACCGUGGAGGGUCAUUGGAAACUGGAAAACUUGAGUGCAGAAGAGGAAAGUGGAAUUCCAUGUGUAGCGGUGAAAUGCGCAGAGAUAUGGAGGAACACCAGUGGCGAAGGCGACUUUCUGGUCUGUAACUGACGCUGAUGUGCGAAAGCGUGGGGAUCAAACAGGAUUAGA
rnacentral:rRNA from 1 species